CCAUUCCCGUCAUCCUUUGGGCUCAGGGCCUGGCAAACACAAAGCAGCUUUGAAAAAAUAAAAUGUCUCUCCCGUCCCGUCCCGCAGGCAGGCUGCGCAGGAGACCAAUGCACACAGAAGAGCUCCAGGGGCUGGCGACUUGGGAGGGCUGGGCGGGUGAUCUCAACGGGGACAUUCCCAGCCCCAGCCAGAGAUGGCGCUGUCUUCGGAGGAGGCGGUGGCGGGCAAGGGUGCAGCCCACUCCCUCCCCAGGUAGAGGGAACUCCCGGCUCCCGGCUCCGCCCAGCUCCCAGGACCACGCCCCCCUCUGAAGGUGGGGGCGGGGUGUCCGUUAAGACCCAAGACCCCAGGAGUGACGCUGGCUUCUUCCUGGCAGGUCCUGGACUCCAGCCCAGUGCUUGGCUCCUUCCUCAUUGGGUCGUGCGUCAUUUUUAUGACGUUUGUGGUUCUGAAUCUGUUUAUCUCUGUCAUCCUGGUGGCCUUCAGCGAGGAGCAGAAACGUGCUCAGCUGUCAGAGGAAGCAGAAAUUGUGGAUUUGCUCCUGAUGAAAAUACUCAGUUUCCUGGGCAUCCAGUGCAAAAGAGAGGUGCCUCAGAGUGGCCCUGAGCAGCCCUUGUUGCCCUUCACAGCUCGGUGCCCUGGGCCAGCACAAGCUUCACCUGGGAUUUAAGCUGCUCACCCACUGGAUCAGCUGGGGCUGUGCUUCCCAGGGAGGCGGGCGCCCCUCCGGGAAUCAGGCUUUGUGUCUGUGGAUGAAUCACUAAGCCCAGCAAAUAGAAAAUAAGCCUGAGGAGGAAUUAAUUCCCUUUUACCUGCAGCUGCCUCUGGCCAUUCCCUUUCUCCUUGCACAAGGUCCUCUUCCUCGAGGAACAGGGUUCCUUCUCACCUGCCUGUCUGCACGGACCUUUACCUUCUGUGGUGCGCCCCUCCUCCCUCCAAGCCAAGACCAAGACUAUAGAUGACAAAUUCCACAGACUGUCGCUGCCCAAAACACACCAGUAGUCCCAGGCCCAAGCUGCAGCGUCUCAUCUCUCUGAAUGCCCGCACUCUGCUCCUAAGUGUGUACUUAAAUUUCUGCCUAAUAAACUCU
ensembl:lncRNA